rnacentral:rRNA from 1 species
AUUGAACGCUGGCGGCAGGCCUAACACAUGCAAGUCGAACGAGUGGCGGACGGGUGAGUAAUGUCUGGGAAACUGCCUGAUGGCGGGGGAUAACUACUGGAAAACGUAGCUACUACCGCAUACCGUCAGAUCGUCCCAGAUGGGAUUAGCUUGUUGGGGGGGUAACGGCUCACCAAGGCGACGAUCCGUAGCUGGUCUGCGAGGAUGACCAGCCACACUGGAACUGAGACACGGUCCAGACUCCUACGUGAGGCAGCAGUGGGGAAUAGUGGACAAUGGGCGCAAGCCUGAUGCAGCCAUGCCGCGUGUAUGAAGAAGGCCUUCGGGUUGUAAAGUACUUUCAGCGGGGAGGCGUUACCCGCAGAAGAAGCACCGGCUAACUCCGUGCCAGCAGCCGCGGUAAUUC